rnacentral:rRNA from 1 species
UGCAGUCGAGCGAACAGACGAGGAGCUUGCUCCUCUGACGUUAGCGGCGGACGGGUGAGUAACACGUGGAUAACCUACCUAUAAGACUGGGAUAACUUCGGGAAACCGGAGCUAAUACCGGAUAACAUGUUGAACCGCAUGGUUCAACAGUGAAAGACGGUCUUGCUGUCACUUAUAGAUGGAUCCGCGCCGCAUUAGCUAGUUGGUAAGGUAACGGCUUACCAAGGCAACGAUGCGUAGCCGACCUGAGAGGGUGAUCGGCCAUAGCUGGAACUGAGACACGGUCCAGACUCCUACGGGAGGCAGCAGUAGGGAAUCUUCCGCAAUGGGCGAAAGCCUGACGGAGCAACGCCGCGUGAGUGAAGAAGGUCUUCGGAUCGUAAAACUCUGUUAUUAGGGAAGAACAAAUGUGUAAGUAACUAUGCACGUCUUGACGGUACCUAAUCAGAAAGCCACGGCUAACUACGUGCCAGCAGCCGCGGUAAUACGUAGGUGGCAAGCGUUAUCCGGAAUUAUUGGGCGUAAAGCGCGCGUAGGCGGUUUUUUAAGUCUGAUGUGAAAGCCCACGGCUCAACCGUGGAGGGUCAUUGGAAACUGGAAAACUUGAGUGCAGAAGAGGAAAGUGGAAUUCCAUGUGUAGCGGUGAAAUGCGCAGAGAUAUGGAGGAACACCAGUGGCGAAGGCGACUUUCUGGUCUGUAACUGACGCUGAUGUGCGAAAGCGUGGGGAUCAAACAGGAUUAGAUACCCUGGUAGUCCACGCCGUAAACGAUGAGUGCUAAGUGUUAGGGGGUUUCCGCCCCUUAGUGCUGCAGCUAACGCAUUAAGCACUCCGCCUGGGGAGUACGACCGCAAGGUUGAAACUCAAAGGAAUUGACGGGGACCCGCACAAGCGGUGGAGCAUGUGGUUUAAUU